UACAGGGGGUGGCAAACGUUGCUCGGAAUUACUGGGCGUAAAGCGCACGUAGGCGGCUUUGUAAGUUAGAGGUGAAAGCCCUGGGCUCAACCCAGGAAGUGCACUCGAAACUGUCAGGCUUGAAUAUGGAAGAGGGUCGCGGAAUUCCCGGUGUAGAGGUGAAAUUCGUAGAUAUCGGGAGGAACACCAGUGGCGAAGGCGGCGACCUGGGCCAAUAUUGACGCAUGAGGUGGCGAAAGCGGUUGGGAGCAAACACGGGAU
rnacentral:rRNA from 1 species